rnacentral:rRNA from 1 species
UACGGGGGGGGCAAGCGUUGUUCGGAAUUACUGGGCGUAAAGGGCUCGUAGGUGGCCAACUAAGUCAGACGUGAAAUCCCUCGGCUUAACCGGGGAACUGCGUCUGAUACUGGAUGGCUUGAGAUUGGGAGAGGGAUGCGGGAAUUCCAGGUGUAGCGGUGAAAUGCGUAGAUAUCUGGAGGAACACCGGUGGCGAAGGCGGCAUCCUGGACCAACACUGACACUGAGGAGCGAAAGCCAGGGGAGCAAACGGG